rnacentral:rRNA from 1 species
CAGCAGCCGCUGGAAUACGUAGGUGGCAAGCGUUGUCCGGAUUUAUUGGGCGUAAAGCGAGCGCAGGCGGUUUCUUAAGUCUGAUGUGAAAGCCCCCGGCUCAACCGGGGAGGGUCAUUGGAAACUGGGAGACUUGAGUGCAGAAGAGGAGAGUGGAAUUCCAUGUGUAGCGGUGAAAUGCGUAGAUAUAUGGAGGAACACCAGUGGCGAAGGCGGCUCUCUGGUCUGUAACUGACGCUGAGGCUCGAAAGCGUGGGGAGCGAACAGGAUUAGAUACCCCGGUAGUCCCUGUCUCUUAUAC